rnacentral:rRNA from 1 species
CCUACGGGAGGCAGCAGUGGGGAAUAUUGGACAAUGGGCGAAAGCCUGAUCCAGCAAUGCCGCGUGAGUGAUGAAGGCCUUAGGGUUGUAAAGCUCUUUUACCAGGGAUGAUAAUGACAGUACCUGGAGAAUAAGCUCCGGCUAACUCCGUGCCAGCAGCCGCGGUAAUACGGAGGGAGCUAGCGUUGUUCGGAAUUACUGGGCGUAAAGCGUACGUAGGCGGUUAUUCAAGUCAGAGGUGAAAGCCUGGAGCUCAACUCCAGAACUGCCUUUGAAACUAGAUAGCUAGAAUCUUGGAGAGGUGAGUGGAAUUCCGAGUGUAGAGGUGAAAUUCGUAGAUAUUCGGAAGAACACCAGUGGCGAAGGCGACUCACUGGACAAGUAUUGACGCUGAGGUACGAAAGCGUGGGGAGCAAACAGGAUUAGAUACCCUGGUAGUCCACGCCGUAAACGAUAGAUACUAGNUGUCGGUCGUCUACGAGUCUGUAGUGGCGCG